UCUUAAAUCUUCACUACUUGAGUGUACUAGUAAAUGAAAGUGUGAUGAUAAUGGAUAGAGAGAGGACUCAAAUGCGAGUGCAAUGAUAACUGUCUUUUAAUGAAACAAAGUCUGGCCACAGACAAAAACGAUGUAGAAAUAGACAAACAGAGGAUGACCCGUAGGCUGGGUAGCACAAAUAAACUGAGAUGACCUCUGUGGCAGGGGGGACCAGCAGACUGGUAAGGCGGAGGCUCUCUGCAUUCAUGAAGGAGCCGACGGUCGGUGCUCGCAGAGCAGGGAUGCCGAAGCAGCUUUCAGCAGUCUUAGAACCGAAAUGUUGAAGAUUAUCUUCUGUCAGAGGCAGUGAUCUGUGGAGAUUUUCUUCAGUCCUGACACACAGGAAACACCUGCUGUUCGGAUCAGCUUUCUGUCAAUGUUUGAUUAUUCAUAUAACAUACAAUAUCUAAUGUGACCAAAUCUGCAGGCAGAAAGCAGAAGUGAAUGUGAGCAGUGAGGAGGUUUUUGUCAUGCUGUGAAUCACUGUGAUACGUACUCUCUAGCAGAGCUGUCCCAUGUCUGACAGUAAUACACUGCAGAAUCAUCAACAUCCACAUUACUGAUGAUCAGACUGUAAUCUGAUUUAGUUUUGUGAUUUGAGUUGAAUUUAGGAGAGGAGUAGCCGGAUCCAUAUGUAGGAGAACUGUUUGGAUGGUAGAAAACUAAGACAAACUGUGGAACUCCUCCAUGAAUCUGUUUGUACCAUCGAGCACCACUAUCUGUGACGGUGUCCAGAUUACACUCCAGCGUGGCCGUCUGUCCUUUACUCAGAGUGAGGACUGGAGGAUUCUGGGUCACCACUAUUACACCACUGACACCUGAAAAAGACAGAAACUAUGAAAGUGAGCUGAAACACAAGCAAGCUUUAGAAGAAUCUUGUAAAGAUCUGAGGUUCACACAUGUGCAAGAAGUGAUGAGAAGGCAGAGUUUUAUCAGCAUGUUUCUCUCUGUCAUCUAAGAUGUGGAUGAGUUUGUUUCUUCAUCAGAACAGAUUUGGACAAAUGUAGCAUUGCAUCACUUGCUAAUCAUUGGAUCCUCUGCAGUGAAUGGGUGCCGUCAGAAUGAGAGUCCAAACAGCUGAUAAGCACAUCACAAUAAUCUACACACCUCCACUCCAUUAAGCAAAAUCUGCAUGUUUGUAAGAAACAAAUCCAUUAUUAAGACAUUUUUAACUUCAAACCUCUGCUUAUGGCUAAAAUAUGAGUCCUCUAUUCAUAUUAUUGCUUUCUCCAGUGAAAAAAUCAUCUUGCCUGAAUGAGGUAUUUGUCAUAUGCCGUUUACAAGCAAAAACAGUCCAAAACAGUUCUAAACAUUCAACUAAAAUUCCGGAAAUGUUAGGACUUUUUUUUCUUUUUCUUUUUGAAUAAAAUUAAAAGUAAAAGAAUUUCAAAUCACAUUUGAAGCCAAUAUUUUAUUCACAUUAGAACAUAGAUAACAUAUAUUCUUUUAGAAAUUUUACAAUUUUAUGCACAAAAUGAGCUCAUUUCAAAUGUGAUGCCUGAUGCAGGUCUCAAAAUUGUUGGGACGGGGUCUUGUUUAUCAUGGCGUAGCAUCUCGUCUUCUUUUCAAAAUGUAAGUUUGAAGACAAAAACCUCCCGCAGUUUUACAGUAAAGAGACACUGACUGUGAAACUGCGCUAGGUUUUUGUACAAGUGAAGACGUGAAAUGUAUCACUGUGGUGUAUCACUCAAUGUGAUCGGUAAGUAAGCUGAAAUCUUGAUUUUUGUUCAGAUACAUGAUUUAUUUUUAUCUGUUUUAUGUAUUAUUUUUGGAAAGUCCAUUUAAAUUAUAAUAUUUUUGCUCAACUUUUGAGUUUCUGUGUUAAUAUAUAUGCUGUAUACAUUUAAAAUGAAUCUUCAAAAUAACAUUCCAAAAUUGUACUUGAUGGGAAUCAUUCUGAAGUGUGUGUAGAUGUUUUUAAAGGCUUAUUAUUUACACAUCAUCAUAUAUGUCAUUUUCUGGUUAGUGAUAAAAUAAGAAUAUGCUCAGUAUAAAUCUAUAUAAUAUAAUUUUCAAUUUCCAUUUCUCCUUUAAAUGAUCCUUUCACAUACCAGGUGAUAAAUAUAUCAUAUUAUAUUGAUUAUAUCUGAAGGAGAGUAAAGCUACUCUCGUGUGUCUGGCUGAGGAUAUUUCAGUAGCUCUGGUGCACGUCUCCUGGUCAGUCAACGGUCGCUCCGUUACACAUGGAGUUUGGAGCAGUCCCACUGAGAAACUGUUACACCUAACACUUUCUUAUUGUCGACUUAUACUAACCCUAAACCUACCCCUAACAUUAACCCCUAAACUUACCCUAACAGUUUACUCUGAGAGUUAAUAGACAUGUGGUUGCAAAUUAAUGAGAAUUAUUUGACAUGUUGCAAAGUUGCUUAUAAUUAAUAAAAUGUCUACAGUGGACUAUCGAAAGUAUCCCAGUUUCACAGUGCUGAAAACUUGUCUGAGUGAAAAUGUCAGAUGUUUUGUCUUUAUUUCUGUUCAUGUUAUGUGAACUGUGUGACUUUAGUACUUCAUAUCUGACAAUGAUUAUGAACAUGUUUGGUUUUGGUUCUGCAAUUAAAAAUCUUUGGCAUGA